rnacentral:rRNA from 1 species
GUUGUAUGGUUAAGUGACUAAGCGUACACGGUGGAUGCCUUGGCAGUCAGAGGCGAUGAAAGACGUAGUAACUUGCGAUAAGCCCAGAUUAGGUAGUAACAACCAUUUGAGUCUGGGAUUUCUGAAUGGGGAAACCCACGUGCAUAAGCACGUAUCCUUACCUGAAUACAUAGGGUAAGGAGGCGAACCGGGGGAACUGAAACAUCUAAGUACCCCGAGGAAAAGAAAUCAACCGAGAUUCCGAAAGUAGCGGCGAGCGAAAUUGGACUAGCCCUUAAGCUUUACACGCGUUAGACGAACGGUCUGGAAAGUCCGACGAUACAGGGUGAUAGUCCCGUAGUUGACGACGUGUGUUCAGUGAAAUCGAGUAGGGCGGGACACGUGAUAUCCUGUCUGAAUAUGGGGGGACCAUCCUCCAAGGCUAAAUACUACUGACUGACCGAUAGUGAACCAGUACCGUGAGGGAAAGGCGAAAAGAACCCCUGUGAGGGGAGUGAAAUAGAACCUGAAACCGUGUACGUACAAGCAGUAGGAGCAGGCUUUGUCCUGUGACUGCGUACCUUUUGUAUAAUGGGUCAGCGACUUAUAUUCAGUGGCAAGGUUAACCAUCUAGGGGAGCCGUAGGGAAACCGAGUCUUAACUGGGCGUUCAGUCUCUGGAUAUAGACCCGAAACCAGGUGAUCUAGCCAUGGGCAGGUUGAAGGUUGAGUAACAUCAACUGGAGGACCGAACCGACUAAUGUUGAAAAAUUAGCGGAUGACUUGUGGCUAGGGGUGAAAGGCCAAUCAAACCUGGAGAUAGCUGGUUCUCCCCGAAAGCUAUUUAGGUAGCGCCUCGGACGAAUACUACUGGGGGUAGAGCACUGUUAAGGCUAGGGGGUCAUCCCGACUUACCAACCCUUUGCAAACUCCGAAUACCAGUAAGUACUAUCCGGGAGACACACGGCGGGUGCUAACGUCCGUCGUGGAGAGGGAAACAACCCAGACCGCCAGCUAAGGUCCCAAAUUACUACUAAGUGGGAAACGAUGUGGGAAGGCUCAGACAGCCAGGAUGUUGGCUUAGAAGCAGCCAUCAUUUAAAGAAAGCGUAAUAGCUCACUGGUCGAGUCGGCCUGCGCGGAAGAUGUAACGGGGCUAAGUAGUAAACCGAAGCUGCGGCAAUAUACUUUUGUAUAUUGGGUAGGGGAGCGUUCUGUAAGCGGUUGAAGGUGUGUGGUAACGCAUGCUGGACGUAUCAGAAGUGCGAAUGCUGACAUGAGUAACGAUAAAGGGGGUGAAAAACCUCCUCGCCGGAAGACCAAGGGUUCCUGUCCAACGUUAAUCGGGGCAGGGUAAGUCGACCCCUAAGGCGAGGCCGAAAGGCGUAGUCGAUGGGAAACGGGUUAAUAUUCCCGUACUUCUUACAAUUGCGAUGGGGGGACGGAGAAGGCUAGGUGGGCCUGGCGACGGUUGUCCAGGUUCAAGUGCGUAGGCUUAAGAGUUAGGUAAAUCCGGCUCUUUUUAAGGCUGAGACACGACGUCGAGCACCUACGGGUGUGAAGUCAUUGAUGCCAUGCUUCCAGGAAAAGCCUCUAAGCUUCAGAUUGUAAGGAAUCGUACCCCAAACCGACACAGGUGGUCGGGUAGAGAAUACCAAGGCGCUUGAGAGAACUCGGGUGAAGGAACUAGGCAAAAUGGUACCGUAACUUCGGGAGAAGGUACGCUCUUGAUGGUGAAGUCCCUUGCGGAUGGAGCUGACGAGAGUCGCAGAUACCAGGUGGCUGCAACUGUUUAUUAAAAACACAGCACUGUGCAAAAUCGUAAGAUGACGUAUACGGUGUGACGCCUGCCCGGUGCCGGAAGGUUAAUUGAUGGGGUUAGACUUCGGUCGAAGCUCUUGAUCGAAGCCCCGGUAAACGGCGGCCGUAACUAUAACGGUCCUAAGGUAGCGAAAUUCCUUGUCGGGUAAGUUCCGACCUGCACGAAUGGCGUAAUGAUGGCCACGCUGUCUCCACCCGAGACUCAGUGAAAUUGAAAUCGCUGUGAAGAUGCAGUGUACCCGCGGCUAGACGGAAAGACCCCGUGAACCUUUACUACAGCUUGGCACUGAACAUUGACCCUACAUGUGUAGGAUAGGUGGGAGGCUUUGAAGCA